GGCACUUUCUGGUUUAAGGAUUUCGGUGUGCUGCAGCCCAGGGGUGUCAGAAACCCUCUGAAAGUAAUAGCCAUGACUCAGCAGAAAAUCCUUCCUCGGCUCGAACGACUUAUUCAGCUGCUGGAAGAAAGCAAAGCAGUUGGCCAGUCGACUAGCACGCAGGGACAGCAGAGCUCUAGCAAGCAGGCUUUCGGGCGAGACAGCGAUUCUAGAGCUUGGACCGAAUCGGCAUCUGUUGUGAAAGGUGUCUCAACUCAGUCCUUUAAGAUCAAAUGAAGGCUUCGUCUGCGAGUGAACAGAAUGCCACGAUGCCCUCUCUUCCUCUGUCAAACCCGUCUUACGCUCAGAAAAGUCAGGAGAAAACGCAGCUGAACAGCCAGGAUGUCCAAUCUCUCUUGGAGCCUGGUGCGUCUGCACAUAUGAGUAUCCCAAAGCUUGCAGGUC